UACGUAGGCGGCAAGCGUUACUCGGAAUCACUAGGCGUAAAGCGCAUGUAGGAGGUUUGGUAAGUCUGUUGUGAAAGCUCCCGGCUUAACUGGGAGAGGUCAACGGAAACUACCAGGCUAGAGUGCGGUAGAGGUAGCUGGAAUUCCCGGUGUAGCGGUGAAAUGCGUAGAUAUCGGGAGGAAUACCUAUGGCGAAAGCAGGCUACUGGACCGUCACUGACUCUGAUCUGCGAAAGCUGGGGGAGCAAACAGG
rnacentral:rRNA from 1 species